rnacentral:rRNA from 1 species
UGCAAGUCGAGCGAAUGGAUUAAGAGCUUGCUCUUAUGAAGUUAGCGGCGGACGGGUGAGUAACACGUGGGUAACCUGCCCAUAAGACUGGGAUAACUCCGGGAAACCGGGGCUAAUACCGGAUAACAUUUUGAACCGCAUGGUUCGAAAUUGAAAGGCGGCUUCGGCUGUCACUUAUGGAUGGACCCGCGUCGCAUUAGCUAGUUGGUGAGGUAACGGCUCACCAAGGCAACGAUGCGUAGCCGACCUGAGAGGGUGAUCGGCCACACUGGGACUGAGACACGGCCCAGACUCCUACGGGAGGCAGCAGUAGGGAAUCUUCCGCAAUGGACGAAAGUCUGACGGAGCAACGCCGCGUGAGUGAUGAAGGCUUUCGGGUCGUAAAACUCUGUUGUUAGGGAAGAACAAGUGCUAGUUGAAUAAGCUGGCACCUUGACGGUACCUAACCAGAAAGCCACGGCUAACUACGUGCCAGCAGCCGCGGUAAUACGUAGGUGGCAAGCGUUAUCCGGAAUUAUUGGGCGUAAAGCGCGCGCAGGUGGUUUCUUAAGUCUGAUGUGAAAGCCCACGGCUCAACCGUGGAGGGUCAUUGGAAACUGGGAGACUUGAGUGCAGAAGAGGAAAGUGGAAUUCCAUGUGUAGCGGUGAAAUGCGUAGAGAUAUGGAGGAACACCAGUGGCGAAGGCGACUUUCUGGUCUGUAACUGACACUGAGGCGCGAAAGCGU